GGCAUCUCCCCUCCCCCUUGAAAAUUAUAAUUAUCCUGAAAAUAAGAAUUCAGAUUAUUGCAUAGUUGUUCUGCCUCAUCUUCUUCUUCCUUGUUGGUGAGCUGAAGUAUGACCGCUAUGAUGUGGCUCCUGAUUUCUUCUUCUUCACUAAACGUUUCCUCGUCAUUUGCAUUGUAGUGAAGAUGGCUUGAGGUUGAUGCGGC
rnacentral:lncRNA from 1 species